GUCUGCUCGUUAUAAAGAACAGUCUGGCCUGCCCACUGAUUUAAUUUUAAAGGCCGCGGUACUUUGACCGUGCGAAGGUAGCAUAAUAAUUAGUCUUUUAAUUGAAGACUGGAAUGAAAGGUCGGACAAAAAGUAAUCUGUCUCAAUUUCUCCCGUCGAAAUUAACUUUUAAGUGAAAAGGCUUAAAUAUUCUUAAAGGACGAUAAGACCCUAUAAAACUUUAUAUAUAAAAAGGUAUACCUCAAUAUGUCUGUGAAAAGUUGUCUAACUUGUUAUAUAUUACGUUGGGGCGACGAGAGUAUAAAUCUAACUGCUCUUUUUUUUAAACAAUUAUAUUUGUUUCUUUUUGACCCUUUUUUUAAGAUCUAAAGAAAAAGUUACUUUAGGGAUAACAGCGUUAUUUUUUUUAAGAGUUCUUAUCGACAAAAAAGUUUGCGACCUCGAUGUUGAAUUAAAAUUUCCUUAUAGUGCAGCAAUUAUAAAGGUAGGUCUGUUCGACCUUUAAAAUUUUACAUGAUUUGAGUUCAAACCGGCGCGAG
rnacentral:rRNA from 1 species